GACGAACGCUGGCGGCGUGCUUAACACAUGCAAGUCGAGCGGUAAGGCCCUUUCGGGGGUACGACGAGCGGCGAACGGGUGAGUAACACGUGGGUGACCUGCCCUCAGCUCUGUGAUAAGCCCGGGAAACUGGGUCUAAUACCGGAUAUGACCUCAUGACGCAUGUUGUGGAGUGGAAAGCCUUGUGCGGCUGAGGAUGGGCCCGCGGCCUAUCAGCUUGUUGGUGGGGUGAUGGCCUACCAAGGCGACGACGGGUAGCCGGCCUGAGAGGGCGACCGGCCACACUGGGACUGAGAUACGGCCCAGACUCCUACGGGAGGCAGCAGUGGGGAAGUCUUGCGCAAUGGGCGAAAGCCUGACGCAGCGACGCCGCGUGAGGGAUGACGGCCU
rnacentral:rRNA from 1 species